GAUCAUGGCUCAGGAUGAACGCUAGCUACAGGCUUAACACAUGCAAGUCGAGGGGCAGCAUUUUUAUAGCAAUAUAAAAGAUGGCGACCGGCGCACGGGUGAGUAACACGUAUCCAACCUGCCGAUGACUCGGGGAUAGCCUUUCGAAAGAAAGAUUAAUACCCGAUGGCAUAGUUCUUCCGCAUGGUGGAACUAUUAAAGAAUUUCGGUCAUCGAUGGGGAUGCGUUCCAUUAGGUUG
rnacentral:rRNA from 1 species